AUAUAGCUGAUGCUCUUCUCUAAUUAACGUCUGGAUACAACAAUUCAAAAUUAAAGAUAUAUGACCAGAUGAGGCUUCAUAAAUAUUGGGUAUGUGUUGAUAAAUUCGAACAAUCAAAGAUGAUCAAGCAGAUUGUGUUCUAUGGGGAAAAUAAAUAAAUUCUCUAAAUUUUG